rnacentral:rRNA from 1 species
AGUGAACGCUGGCGGUAGGCCUAACACAUGCAAGUCGAACGGCAGCACAGUAAGAGCUUGCUCUUACGGGUGGCGAGUGGCAGACGGGUGAGGAAUACAUCGGAAUCUACUUUUUCGUGGGGGAUAACGUAGGGAAACUUACGCUAAUACCGCAUACGACCUACGGGUGAAAGCAGGGGAUCUUCGGACCUUGCGCGAUUGAAUGAGCCGAUGUCGGAUUAGCUAGUUGGCGGGGUAAAGGCCCACCAAGGCUACGAUCCGUAGCUGGUCUGAGAGGAUGAUCAGCCACACUGGAACUGAGACACGGUCCAGACUCCUACGGGAGGCAGCAGUGGGGAAUAUUGGACAAUGGGCGCAAGCCUGAUCCAGCCAUACCGCGUGGGUGAAGAAGGCCUUCGGGUUGUAAAGCCCUUUUGUUGGGAAAGAAAAGCAGCAGGUUAAUACCCCGCUGUUCUGACGGUACCCAAAGAAUAAGCACCGGCUAACUUCGUG